rnacentral:rRNA from 1 species
CCUACGGGUGGCAGCAGUGAGGAAUAUUGGUCAAUGGGCGCUAGCCUGAACCAGCCAAGUAGCGUGAAGGAUGACGGCUCUAUGGAUUGUAAACCUCUUUUAUAUGGGAAUAAAGUGCGGUACGUGUACUGCUUUGCAUGUACCUUAUGAAUAAGGAUCGGCUAACUCCGUGCCAGCAGCCGCGGUAAUACGGAGGAUCCGAGCGUUAUCCGGAUUUAUUGGGUUUAAAGGGUGCGUAGGCGGCUUUUUAAGUCAGCGGUGAAAGUUUGUGGCUCAACCAUAGAAUUGCCGUUGAUACUGGCAGGCUUGAGUAUGUUUGAGGCAGGCGGAAUGCGUGGUGUAGCGGUGAAAUGCUUAGAUAUCACGAAGAACCCCGAUUGCGAAGGCAGCCUGCUAGACCGUGACUGACGCUGAUGCUCGAAAGCGUGGGUAUCAAACAGGAUUAGAUACCCUGGUAGUC